rnacentral:tRNA from 2 species
GGGCGGUUAGCUCAGCUGGUUUAGAGCGCCUGCCUUACAAGCAGGAGGUCACUGGUUCGAAUCCGGUACCGCCCA